rnacentral:rRNA from 1 species
UACGUAGGUUUCCCUCGUUGUCCGUCUUUCUUGGGUUUAAAGGGUGCGUAGGCGGCUUUGUAAGUCAGUAGUGAAAUACCCCAGCUCAACUGGGGGGGUGCUAUUGAUACUGCAUGGCUUGAGUACAGAUGAGGUAGGCGGAAUUGACGGUGUAGCGGUGAAAUGCAUAGAUAUCGUCAAGAACACCGAUAGCGAAGGCAGCUUACUAAGUUGUAACUGACGCUGAUGCACGAAAGUGUGGGGAUCAAACAGG